rnacentral:misc_RNA from 1 species
GGUCUUGCAAGGUCAAGAAAUUUUUACAAGCCCUCCUUAUGGGAGAGCUCAAGCUGGUAUCCAAAUGCAGGAGAAAAGUAGGACCGGUAUUUUUGUCGGUAUUCAGGUUCCAAACCAUGGAAACAGGUGGCCUGCUCCAAAUCAGGAUAAUAACACUCCUUGCAAGCCAAUUAAUCCUGUCUCAGCAUCAUCACCGCCUUCUGCACUCAAUUUUCAGCAUCCGAGCCCUCCAGCAUCAAAGUUCCAGGCUAUGUUCAAUCAUAAACAUGAUCUUGUUAACCAGGCUUCGUUAGAUCUGUCUGAGAACUGUUGUAGGUAUCCGUAUCUCUCAUCUGGUUCACAUACCGAGGACAUCAGUCAGAAGGAAGGUACUCAAGGAAUCAGCUCGUUUGGUUUCUUAAAGGAGCAAAAGCAAACAGGACUUUCAUAUCUUUCUCUUGGGACACAGUCGUCAUUCAAAGGCAAUCAAAACUUAGUUUCCACUUGUAAAACUGGUUGCAGGAUCUUUGGGUUCCCCUUGACCGAGAGUAAAAUAAGUGCAACUAGAGCGGAUACUCCCUCUGAAGCUGUAUACUCACAUGGUCUAGAAACUACAUUUCUCCCUUCCAGUGAUGGAAAGUUGCAGCCGGGGCCACCAUUGAUGACUAACGUUGUGGGGACAAAUUUUACCAAAGUAAAUGACCUCUAUGCAGCAAGAGAUGUGCUUCUUGAUAUUGCUCUGUAGCAGGUGUUUGUUGUGAGGUUGUGCUAGAAUAUGUAGACUGAAGGAUGUGUGUGCAGCAUUAUUGAUUAUUAGCUUUUAGUUGGCGUUGUAAUCUUCUGGCUGUUGAGUGCGCAAGCAUUUGGUUGCCAGUAGAAUGCUUAUCCAGAGAUGAGAAUUGAGAGUUAUUAAUGAAGAUUGAUACCGUUGAGGAACGUAUGUUCUUGAAAAUUUGGUGUAUAUGUUCCUGUGACGCUGAUGUACUAUGUAACAAUUGGAAGCUGUGUUUGCUGCAUCAAAGAUGUCUGUAUGAUAGUUGUACUCUACUUGAGAUGACUUCUGUAUUUGUAUAUUUACCUAGUCUAGAUUUGCUGUGAACUAACUCGAGCUCCUAUAAAUCGGUAAGUUUGUUGUAGGAGCUCUCGUCUCAGGAACACAAUACUGUACUGAAUUUUGUAAGGAAUUGUCAUGUAUAUUCCUGCAAUUAAAC